AAACUUGAUGAUGAUGAUCUCAUCAGCUAUAUCCUCCAUGGAUUGGAUUCAGACUACAAUUCCUUUGUCUCCUCCAUGACUGCCAAGGCCUCUCUAAGUUUGGGUGAUAUAUAUGCCGAUCUCCUUUGAAGC
rnacentral:snoRNA from 1 species